rnacentral:lncRNA from 10 species
GAUGAAUGGGGCUUUGUUCGUAGGCAGCCGCGGCUACCCUCUGCAGGCCCGGCCCGCACAACAGAGGCUGUAUGCGAGAGGAAUGGAAAUGAGCCUCAGGCCCUGCCGAAGGAGCCCCAUCCCCUUCCCCGCGCGGGGCUGAGGAAUGCUGGCCAGCCGGAAAGGAACCCUCGCUGGGAACGCCGCUCUCGCGCCUCUGAAACCCCAUUGAGAAGAACCCUUUGAUGCAAUUAAAGCGCAUUUCAUUGCAGGCCUGGGAGGAGGGAACGACCGGCAAGCUUUUUUCUGUCUCGGACGUGUGUAUGCACCUUUGUGGGCCGGGUUACUUAGAGACCAGGCGGGAACUUGAGCUCCCUCUCUCGCAGACGUUCUGUAACAUCAGAAAAGCGUACCCAUAAACAGAUUGGUUUUCACCAGGGGUGGAACUCAAUUUGGACACGAUCCAGGCUGACCUGCAGGCCGGGGUUCCUACUUUGAAAGGCUCUUUGGUGCGCCUUACACCCACCUUCCCUGCUGUAAAGGUUUAGGCGGAAAAGAAAUUGCGUUUGCAGGAGGAAGUUGUUUCUGAGGUUACUGCUCAGCAUUUUCCAUUUUCUCAGUGGUGGGGUGGGCCGUGUCGCAUAUCCAGAAGUGAUGUCACAGCCAGACCUGCAAAAUGAUGUAACCUGCAAGUGUUGAAGGACGACGAUGGGACAGCUAUUUUGAUACUCGUAUUAUUUUAUAACAUUUCCCUGCUUUUUCCAUUGAGACAACUGUGUGACCUCAGAAAAUCCACAUAGCCUCUCUGAACUUAGUAUUUUUGUGUGUGUGUUAAAAUGAGUAUCACAAAGCCGGAGAACGAAUGUGAUGAAGUUCUGGGUGCUUGUGGAAUUCUUUCUAAGUUGGAGGUGGACACUUUAUCUACCUGCACAGGUGGAAGAUAUGUGGGUCUGGAACUCCGGUAAACAAAAAGAUCCUAUUGGGACCUCUAUUUGGUUGACUUUGUGUCACUUUUUACUAGGGCUAAUUGUCUAAUGUCUCUUUCCACUAGUGUAUGCCUCCUUGAGAACAUGAACCUUUAAACAACAACAACAACAAUAACAACACGAAGACAAAGUCCUGUCUGCUCUCCCAGGCUAGAGUGCAGCGUGCAAUCGUGCAAUCGCAGCCUACAGUAAGGGGCAAUAUGCGAAACACACGGCUGCCC